UACAGAGGGGGCAAGCGUUGUUCGGAAUUACUGGGCGUAAAAGGGCGCGUAGGCGGCCUGUUAAGUCAGACGUGAAAUCCCUCGGCUCAACCGGGGAACUGCGUCUGAUACUGGCGGGCUUGAAUUCGGGAGAGGGAUGUGGAAUUCCAGGUGUAGCGGUGAAAAUGCGUAGAUAUCGGAAGGAACAUCAGUGGCGAAAGCGACUUCCUGGACCAAUACUGACGCUCAUGUGCGAAAGCGUGGGGAGCAAACAGG
rnacentral:rRNA from 1 species